AGAGGUGCAGAAAGCACCUCUCUCUCCACAGGCCUCACACGACCUGGGCUCCUCCACCAGGAACCAGCCGGAACACGGACCUCCAAAUCGGACCCAGACAUAACACUGGUUCUGGAGUCACGAGGGGGAAAGAAUGAGAGAGAGAAAGAGAGGGUCAGAGAGAGAGCAUAGUGAAGUAUACUAAUGAUUGUUACACCUGUGGGGAGGAUUCUUGGCCUCUUGUCUGGGCUCCCUCGUGCAGAGGAGUGGAAGUGUGCUUGGCGACGUCUGCCUCUCCCUACUGUUGUCGCUCACACACACACAGACACACACACACAGACACACACACACACACACACAGACACACACACACACACACUCACACAGACACCGUGGCUUUGUUAGUCAGAGAAGUGGACAGUCAUAUGGUUCCAGUAAGCCACGCUGAUUUGACUCUAUGGCAUGUUAUACCCCCAUGCUAUCUCUCUUUCUCUGUCUCUCUCUUUCUCUAUAUAUUUUGGCAAACCAAGCCGUGCCUCCAUCCAGACACGCCAAGGAAGGGUCUCUCCCUAAAGUGUGUGCCACGGAAAAACCAAGCCACCUGGACACAAACACCAAUAACGUUGAAUGGAUAGAAACUGUGUCCAGAACUCUUCCAAGGUGUCAACUGGGUUGAGGGGAAUUUCUACGGCAUACAAUCUGAUUAACAUAACAGGAUGUAAUAAUACAAUAUAUUCUUAAGGUAGAGAAGUUUUCCCCCGGUGACCACUGGACAACGUCUACUGUAGCGUGGACCACUGUAAACAGGAACCAGGAAGGGUAGAAGUCACUCCUUUCACCAGACCGCGGCCCCCCUGACACCUGAGGCCAGAGUUGCUUACCCUCCCCUGGGUCACACCCUCCACCCUGACCCCUGGCUCUGGCAGGGUGGACCCCCAGGAGGAGGCUCAAAGAGUGGGACUGUUCUGGUACAGAGGUCCCCAUUCACAGCCAGGGCUGGGGCACCAUGGCCUGGUUCUGCUUUACUGCAUCAGUGAGCUCUCCAGAUGUGACACAUCACACCACCUCAGCAGUCCCCUGUACCAGCACUGUUCACGUCGCCCUGGAGACGAAAGUCCCGCCUCCGCCCUUUCAAUGACUGAUGAUGUCACAUCCUGCCAGUGGACUGGGUGAAUUAUUCCAGGUCACACGGAGCCCACAGUCUCUUGCCUCCAUCUUGGCUCCAGCCGUGUCUACGGGAUUCCCAAACUUGAAGGGCUGCAAGGCCCCAAAAGAUUGUUUAACAGCUCAGGAUGCCUCAGAGUCAAGACGUUCUCUUCAUAAAAACACCAAUGCGGUCGCGGAUAAAAAUGCAAAGCAUUCUGGGACGCCUCUUCUGACCGUAACUCAUUCCAUCUGUGUCAGCGGAGGAUGCUGGGAAACGCCAGGCUGGAUGCUGAACUCUCCUGUUGACAUGUUGUCCAUUUCCCGUUUGUGACGUCUUAACCGCCGAGCCCGCCACAUGUCAGGUCUGAGUCAUUGUGCCAUGUUUAUGGCCUCAUAAUGUGUUUCAAUGGACUUUGAAGGUCUCUCCUGUCAGUAUUUUUACCACCUGGUAUU